rnacentral:rRNA from 1 species
GUGAGUAGUUCAGAGUUUGAUCCUGGCUCAGGAUGAACGCUAGCGGCAGGCUUAACACAUGCAAGUCGAGGGGCAGCAUGACACGGAGAUUCGUCGAAGUGUUGAUGGCGACCGGCGCAAGGGUGCGUAACGCGUGAGCAACUUGCCCGUUUCUGGGGAAUAACCGGUGGAAACGCCGACUAAUACCCCAUAGCAUAACGAAGAGGCAUCUUUUUUGUUAUUAAAGAGUUUCGGAUAAGGAUAGGCUCGCGUGACAUUAGCUAGACGGCGGGGUAACGGCCCACCGUGGCUACGAUGUCUAGGGGUUCUGAGAGGAAGGUCCCCCACACUGGAACUGAGACACGGUCCAG